CGUUAUGGCGGUGGUGCGCGGGACACCUUCGGGUGUGCCGGGCUCCUUUCGUCCCGGUCGGCCAACCCGCGUACUGCUGCCACCUUA
rfam:Pseudomonas putida S11 PPS11_c233, whole genome shotgun sequence.